UUUAGAGGGUUGUUGUUCUUCCAAUAUUUCUAGAGAAGACUUUAGAUAUACGGAAAUGCCUUAUGUGAUAUCGACGGAAAACAAAAAGCUUACUGUAUACUUCAUUAAAAAUUCAGCAAUCAUUAAAAAUAAAAUAAAUUAAAGAAUAAGUUGUGACUGUACGAUCUUUUUAUUUGACAAUUUUUU
rnacentral:sRNA from 1 species